GUGGUCAUCAUGGCGGAACGAAUAGCUGAAGGACUCCAUUCAGGAUGUGCACCUUUAACCAAUGCAGCUAUUCCAGCAAUGUGAGGAGCAGCCAUGGAAGUGCCUGAUUCAAGAAGGUAAUCAGUUGCCAAUUCUAUAUUGGUACCAAUUGUCGCUGCCAUAGUAUUAGAUGGCCAGGCGGCUAGAAUUAACACUCCUGGUGCUAAUAUGUCUGGCUUUGAUACUCUCAGAUAGCUUCAAGAAGGGCCUCUAGCUGAGGAUGCAGAAACAACUGGAGCAGGCUUUGAGUCCAAAUGCGUCUCCAGGAAACUAAUGCUGGC
rnacentral:lncRNA from 1 species